rnacentral:lncRNA from 1 species
UUCAAUUCUCCUCCCUUUAAUAAUAUUUUAUAGCAUUAUCUCAAAGAAAAAAUUAUCAUUUAUGGAGUAUAUGGAUGGAGAGGCGGUUUUGUCUAACAAUUAUUAUCUUCACUAUAAAGAACUGAUACAUAAAUGUAUUAUAUAUUAUAUAUAGUAGAAUGUUAUUUUCUUUUUAGUUUUAUCUUUGAUUUAUUUUAGUUCCUCUAGAGUACUAAUAUUUAUAGUUUU